UCCUACGGGGGGCAGCAGUGGGGAAUUUUGCGCAAUGGGCGAAAGCCUGACGCAGCAACGCCGCGUGCGGGAUGAAGGCCUUCGGGUUGUAAACCGCUUUCAGCAGGGAUGAAACUGACAGUACCUGCAGAAGAAGCCCCGGCUAACUACGUGCCAGCAGCCGCGGUAAUACGUAGGGGGCUAGCGUUAUCCGGAUUUAUUGGGCGUAAAGAGCGCGUAGGCGGCUUGUUAAGCGAGAUGUGAAAACCGGGGGCUCAACCCGCGGCCUGCAUCUCGAACUGGCAGGCUUGAGUCUGGUAGAGGAAAGUGGAAUUCCCAGUGUAGCGGUGAAAUGCGCAGAUAUUGGGAGGAACACCAGUGGCGAAGGCGGCUUUCUGGGCCACGACUGACGCUGAGGCGCGAAAGCUAGGGGAGCAAACAGGAUUAGAUACCCGAGUAA
rnacentral:rRNA from 1 species